rnacentral:rRNA from 1 species
AUACGUAGGGUGCGAGCGUUAAUCGGAAUUACUGGGCGUAAAGCGUGCGCAGGCGGCUUUGCAAGACAGAGGUGAAAUCCCCGGGCUCAACCUGGGAACUGCCUUUGUGACUGCAAGGCUAGAGUACGGCAGAGGGGGAUGGAAUUCCGCGUGUAGCAGUGAAAUGCGUAGAUAUGCGGAGGAACACCAAUGGCGAAGGCAAUCCCCUGGGCCUGUACUGACGCUCAUGCACGAAAGCGUGGGGAGCAAACAGGAUUAGAAACCCCAGUAGUCC